rnacentral:lncRNA from 1 species
CAUGCAUGUCCCCUGUUUCUUACAUGUCAUUGUCCCCUGUUCUUACAUGUCAUGUCCCCUAGUGUCCUUACAUGUCAUGUCCCCUGUUCUUACAUGUCAUGUCCCCUGUUCUCUUAUUCAUGGUCAUGUAUGUCCCUCACUGUUCUUCAUGCCAUGUCCCUGUAUCAUGCCAUGUCCCCUGUUCUACAUGCCAUGUCCCCUGUUCUUACAUGCCAUGUCCCCUGUUCUUACAUGCCAUGUCCCCUGUUCUUACAUGCCAUGUCCCCUGUUCUUACAUGCCAUGUCCCUGUUCUUACAUGUCAUGUCCCCUGUUCUUACAUGUCAUGUCCCCUGUUUCUUACAUUCAUGUCCCCUGUUCUUACAUGUCAUGUCCCCUGUUCUUAUGUCUGUUCCCUGUUACAUGUCAUGUCCCCUGUUUACAUGUCAUGUCCCCUGUUCUUAAAAUGCUUUUUUUUUCAGUUGAACGCCUUUUUUCUUUCUUAGGCGUAUUUGUAAGGAUGAGGUAUUGUACUUUUUUUUCUUUCUUAGGCGUAUUUGUAAGGAUGAGGUAUUGUACUUUUUUUUCUUUCUUAGGCGUAUUUGUAAGGAUGAGGUAUUGUACUUUUUUCUUUCUUAGGCGUAUUUGUAAGGAUGAGGUAUUGUACUUUUUUCUUUCUUAGGCGUAUUUGUAAGGAUGAGGUAUUGUAUUUUUUUUCUUCUUAGGCGUAUUUGUAAGGAUGAGGUAUUGUACUUUUUUCUUUCUUAGGCGUAUUUGUAAGGAUGAGGUAUUGUACUUUUUUUUCUUUCUUAGGCGUAUUGUAAGGAUGAGGUAUUGUACUUUUUUUCUUUCUUAGGCGUAUUUGUAAGGAUGAGGUAUUGUACUUUUUUCUUUCUUAGGCGUAUUUGUAAGGAUGAGGUAUUGUACUUUUUUUCUUUUUUUUUACAAAUAAAGGUCUGCCUUGUUGAGAAGAUGCUUGUGUCUUGUUCAAAGUGCGCCA